GAUGAACGCCGGCGGCGUGCCUAAUACAUGCAAGUCGAGCGAACAGACGAGGAGCUUGCUCCUUUGACGUUAGCGGCGGACGGGUGAGUAACACGUGGGUAACCUACCUAUAAGACUGGGAUAACUUCGGGAAACCGGAGCUAAUACCGGAUAAUAUUUCGAACCGCAUGGUUCGAUAGUGAAAGAUGGCUUUGCUAUCACUUAUAGAUGGACCUGCGCCGUAUUAGCUAGUUGGUAAGGUAACGGCUUACCAAGGCAACGAUACGUAGCCGACCUGAGAGGGUGAUCGGCCACACUGGAACUGAGACACGGUCCAGACUCCUACGGGAGGCAGCAGUAGGGAAUCUUCCGCAAUGGGCGAAAGCCUGACGGAGCAACGCCGCGUGAGUGAUGAAGGUCUUCGGAUCGUAAAACUCUGUUAUUAGGGAAGAACAAACGUGUAAGUAACUGUGCACGUCUUGACGGUACCUAAUCAGAAAGCCACGGCUAACUACGUG
rnacentral:rRNA from 1 species